rnacentral:rRNA from 1 species
GAGGAAUAUUGGUCAAUGGACGAGAGUCUGAACCAGCCAAGUAGCGUGAAGGAUGACUGCCCUAUGGGUUGUAAACUUCUUUUAUACGGGAAUAAAGUGAGGCACGUGUGCCUUUUUGUAUGUACCGUAUGAAUAAGGAUCGGCUAACUCCGUGCCAGCAGCCGCGGUAAUACGGAGGAUCCGAGCGUUAUCCGGAUUUAUUGGGUUUAAAGGGAGCGUAGGCGGACGCUUAAGUCAGUUGUGAAAGUUUGCGGCUCAACCGUAAAAUUGCAGUUGAUACUGGGUGUCUUGAGUACAGUAGAGGCAGGCGGAAUUCGUGGUGUAGCGGUGAAAUGCUUAGAUAUCACGAAGAACUCCGAUUGCGAAGGCAGCUUGCUGGACUGUAACUGACGCUAAUGCUCGAAAGUGUGGGUAUCAAACAGGAUUAGAUACCCUGGUAGUCCACACAGUAAACGAUGAAUACUCGCUGUUUGCGAUAUACAGUAAGCGGCCAAGCGAAAGCGUUAAGUAUUCCACCUGGGGAGUACGCCGGCAACGGUGAAACUCAAAGGAAUUGACGGGGGCCCGCACAAGCGGAGGAACAUGUGGUUUAAUUCGAUGAUACGCGAGGAACCUUACCCGGGCUUGAAUUGCAACUGAAUGAUGUGGAGACAUGUCAGCCGCAAGGCAGUUGUGAAGGUGCUGCAUGGUUGUCGUCAGCUCGUGCCGUGAGGUGUCGGCUUAAGUGCCAUAACGAGCGCAACCCUUAUCGAUAGUUACCAUCAGGUUAUGCUGGGGACUCUGUCGAGACUGCCGUCGUAAGAUGUGAGGAAGGUGGGGAUGACGUCAAAUCAGCACGGCCCUUACGUCCGGGGCUACACACGUGUUACAAUGGGGGGUACAGAAGGCAGCUACACGGCGACGUGAUGCUAAUCCCGAAAGCCUCUCUCAGUUCGGAUUGGAGUCUGCAACCCGACUCCAUGAAGCUGGAUUCGCUAGUAAUCGCGCAUCAGCCACGGCGCGGUGAAUACGUUCCCG